AGUAUAUGGCUCUUGCCAACUGUAACCUUGGUCAGGGGGACAUUUACCACUGGCAGCGGCAAACCUGGUAACAAACAGUGUCCUAGGAUCUUUUUCGUAGGCAGCAAUUUUUCCAGCUUGGGUGAAGAAUUUUGUAGUCGCCAUCCUAAGUGGUCUUGGCAGAUACAUCCCAGGCGAAAAAAAUCCUUUUACAGGCAUACUAUUCAUUUGCUUUUGGGGACCUUUGACUCAAGCACUGUGUGCUAUUUGGUUUCCUAAAAUCAAGGGGAGAACCAAAGAGCAGUGCUAUGAGUUUACAUCAUGAUCUCACCCUGGUGUUGUUUCCUUUCUCUACAUUCAGGUCAAGAGAGCAAUGGAACAUGGUAUGUAUUUUGGAAUCUGUCUCCUGCUGAUGCAAGAAUCUAUAUGUUCAGGAAGCUGGAGCAUUCCUGAUGGCAUCAGUCUGGAGAGCUACCCUGACGCCAGGGUUCUGGUAGGACAGAGGCUUGAGGGUGUGGAGAGAAGACAGAUUUCCCAGGGGAAACCUAUGUCCAUUUUUACAGUGUGAGGAAGAAAAUAUAAUCAGUGUGUGGUGUGUGUGUGUGUGUGUGUGUGUGGACGCACAAGUGUGUUUGAGAGAGGCAGAACCUGAGGGACAGAGAAAGAGACAGAGAAACUUACAAAGAGAAUGAGACAUGAGAGACAGAGACAGAGAGAGAGAGAGAGAGAGGUGUGUUUCCCCGGGAGAUAUGUGCCACUGACACUGCACAAUGUCCGAUGUUUAGUGUCUCAGCAAACUCCUCCUACUGCACACUUCAAAGAUUAUUGCUGAGUGAGGCUCAGCAGUCACAUGCAGUCCAUGCAGGUUACCAAAACCUCUGUAUGGCCUGCCCCAUAUUCAUAUCACGGAACAGUCCCUGAGUUAUUCUUGAGCAGCACCAACAAUGUACUGACCUGUUUUCUGUGUCCUUCUAGGUGUCCCUGUGGAGAAAGAGCUGCAGUCCGUUGCAGUAAGGAGGCAAAAGACUGUUGCAGAGGUGGCCAUAGGAGCACGAGAAGAAGGUGUCCCUAAGGAGGAAAAUGUGUGGGCCAUUCCUGUCAGGAGACACCAAGGUGUUGCUGAGGUGAGCCUGCCUGUCUUUGCCUAUGGAAGACACGUUGAUUACUUAGUGUAUCUCCACUCAUAUUCGGUGACAUAGGACUAUGUACAUUUUACAUGAUAGCAUUCAAUUCUGUCGUAGGGAGAUUGGUGAGUGGUUGUCCCUUACCAACUGUAACUUGAUCAAGAGCACAUUAACCACUGGCAAUGCCAAUCCUGCUAAGAAACAGUGUCAUAUGAUCUUUUCCUGAGUAGCUUUAUUUCCUGCUUGGGUGAGGAAUUUUGUAGUCGGCACCCUAAAUGGUCUUCAGAGACACAUCCCCAGUAAAGAACAACUUCUGACGGGCAUGCUAUUCAUUUGCUAUUGGGGACCUUUGACUCAAG